UAUGGAGGGUGCAAGCGUUAUCCGGAUUCACUGGGUUUAAAGGGUGCGUAGGUGGGCAAGUAAGUCAGUGGUGAAAUCUCCGGGCUUAACCCGGAAACUGCCAUUGAUACUAUUUGUCUUGAAUACUGUGGAGGUCAGCGGAAUAUGUCAUGUAGCGGUGAAAUGCUUAGAUAUGACAUAGAACACCAAUUGCGAAGGCAGCUGGCUACACAAAUAUUGACACUGAGGCACGAAAGCGUGGGGAUCAAACAGG
rnacentral:rRNA from 1 species